UAACCUGCCCAAGAGAUCGGGAUAACACCUGGAAACAGAUGCUAAUACCGGAUAACAACAGAUGAUGCCUAUCAACUGUUUAAAAGAUGGUUCUGCUAUCACUCUUGGAUGGACCCGCGGUGCAUUAGCUAGUUGGUAGGGUAACGGCCUACCAAGGCGAUGAUGCAUAGCCGAGUUGAGAGACUGAUCGGCCACAUUGGGACUGAGACACGGCCCAAACUCCUACGGGAGGCAGCAGUG
rnacentral:rRNA from 1 species